rnacentral:rRNA from 1 species
AGAGAGAGACAUGCGCGCAUAUCAAUAAGCGGAGGAAAAGAAACUAACAAGGAUUCCCUUAGUAACGGCGAGUGAAGCGGGAAGAGCUCAAAUUUGAAAUCUUCAAGGUUUUACCUUGACGAAUUGUAGUUUAAAGAAGUGUUUUCUGCUGAAGUUUUGGUAAAAGUUCUUUGGAAUAGGACAUCAUAGAGGGUGAGAAUCCCGUAUUUGACCAUUAUUUUCAGCUUUGUGAUACACUUUCAAAGAGUCGGAUUGUUUGGGAAUGCAGCCCAAAAUGGGUGGUAAAUUUCAUCUAAAGCUAAAUAUUGGCGAGAGACCGAUAGCGAACAAGUACCGUGAGGGAAAGAUGAAAAGAACUUUGAAAAGAGAGUUAAACAGUACGUGAAAUUGUCAAAAGGGAAGCGUUUGACACCAGUGUUGUUUUCUCGAAAAUCAAUUAAAAAUGGCUCGAUUUUGUAUUGGACCUUUAAUCAAGCUUCACUGCUACAUCUUUUCGUGUCUUUUUUAAUGCACUUUUCGUUUAACAAGUCAACAUCAGUUUCUUUUGUUGUAAAAGGGUCAUUGGGAAGGUGGCUUUCUUUUCGGAGAAAGUGUUUAUAGCCUUUGGCCUCUGCAAUCGAAGAGACUUGAGGUCUGCAGCGUAGAUCCUUCGGGGUUAGAUACAUUUGUGCUAAGUUAUAGCCUUUUCAUAGACAACUUGUUGACUAUAAUCAGUCAUGUAGCUUACUCGCUUAUGCUAUUUUACCUACGCUUAGGAUGUUGAGUCGUAGAGCACGCAG